UAUUUAUAGAAAAUAUCUUAUCCUAAUUUGUAGAUAUACUUGUUGGAUAAUUGGUUUGGAUCGUCCGUAAAACUAUAGACGAUCCAUUAUAUUACUUUUUAGGCGGAUAUAAUAUAAAAUUAACAAUUUUUGUUCUAGUGAAAUAGUCCAUGUAACCCGGUAUAGUUGUCGAAAAAAGAAUGGUUGGCAUCGAAAUAUGUUUUUAAGCGAUUAUAAUUAAUGGUUGAUCAGCGAAACAUAAAGU
rnacentral:sRNA from 1 species